AGUCUGGGCAGAACGGACACACAGACAUUUGAUGAGCAGGGUGUAGAGUGAGCCAACAGGUGUUUGAGAGGGAGGUGUAUGGUGCCAGAGGAGGGCUACAAGGGGAUAACAUACUGACACAUACUGACAAUUCAAUAGAUUGAACCGGGUAAUUCAUUGAUUUUUCCGUCUGUUUAGUAUGAUAGUAUCAUACAUUUAAAUUGAUUUUAUUAUGUAAUUCAUAAUUCUUCCUAAAUUCCUAAAUUAUUUCAGAUUAUUUCUGCCCUUACAAGCCCUUAACUUAGUAUUGGUCUAUUGUAUGGUAUAAACACCUGCUUCAAGAAUUAUACUUUUGCAGAGGAGGCACAAGCUGUGCCGGCGUUCAUCCUGAGUCAGAGUCCCAAGGGUAGGGAGUGGAGCAGAGUAAAAUACUGGAAGUUCACCGGCACCCAGCCAGGCCAUGUGAGAGCAACUCAGGUCGUCGACAGGGGGUCGCCUGCUCUGUGCUUGAAUAAAAAGAUACUUCAAAGAUAACUAUCGUUUAUAAGCUAUGCUUUAGGCAUGUCAAAAUGAAACUAAAGCACAUUUUAUUCAAAUACGAUGCUGUAUCUUUGUGUGGUUUUGUGAGGAAUUUUGGUAUGUGAUCGCUUGUAAGCAAAUCUCACUCACACUCACUUCCCAUCACUGCUUGUGACGA